rnacentral:rRNA from 1 species
UACGUAGGGUGCGAGCGUUAAUCGGAAUUACUGGGCGUAAAGCGUGCGCAGGCGGUUCGUUAAGUCAGAUGUGAAAGCCCCGGGCUCAACCUGGGAACUGCAUUUGAAACUGGCGGGCUUGAGUAUGGCAGAGGGGGGUGGAAUUCCGCGUGUAGCAGUGAAAUGCGUAGAGAUGCGGAGGAACACCGAUGGCGAAGGCAGCCCCCUGGGCCGAGGCCGACGCUGAGGCGCGAGAGCGCGGGGAGCGAACCGG